rnacentral:rRNA from 1 species
UGGCUCAGGAUGAACGCUAGCUACAGGCUUAACACAUGCAAGUCGAGGGGCAGCAUCAUCAAAGCUUGCUUUGAUGGAUGGCGACCGGCGCACGGGUGAGUAACACGUAUCCAACCUGCCGACAACACUGGGAUAGCCUUUCGAAAGAAAGAUUAAUACCGGAUGGCAUAGUUUUCCCGCAUGGGAUAAUUAUUAAAGAAUUUCGGUUGUCGAUGGGGAUGCGUUCCAUUAGGCAGUUGGCGGGGUAACGGCCCACCAAACCAAUGAUGGAUAGGGGUUCUGAGAGGAAGGUCCCCCACAUUGGAACUGAGACACGGUCCAAACUCCUACGGGAGGCAGCAGUGAGGAAUAUUGGUCAAUGGACGAGAGUCUGAACCAGCCAAGUAGCGUGAAGGAUGACUGCCCUAUGGGUUGUAAACUUCUUUUAUACGGGAAUAAAGUGAGCCACGUGUGGCUUUUUGUAUGUACCGUAUGAAUAAGGAUCGGCUAACUCCGUGCCAGCAGCCGCGGUAAUACGGAGGAUCCGAGCGUUAUCCGGAUUUAUUGGGUUUAAAGGGAGCGUAGGCGGGUUGUUAAGUCAGUUGUGAAAGUUUGCGGCUCAACCGUAAAAUUGCAGUUGAUACUGGCGACCUUGAGUGCAACAGAGGUAGGCGGAAUUCGUGGUGUAGCGGUGAAAUGCUUAGAUAUCACGAAGAACUCCGAUUGCGAAGGCAGCUUACUGGAUUGUAACUGACGCUGAUGCUCGAAAGUGUGGGUAUCAAACAGGAUUAGAUACCCUGGUAGUCCACACAGUAAACGAUGAAUACUCGCUGUUGGCGAUAUACAGUCAGCGGCCAAGCGAAAGCAUUAAGUAUUCCACCUGGGGAGUACGCCGGCAACGGUGAAACUCAAAGGAAUUGACGGGGGCCCGCACAAGCGGAGGAACAUGUGGUUUAAUUCGAUGAUACGCGAGGAACCUUACCCGGGCUUAAAUUGCAACUGACUGAACCGGAAACGGUUCUUUCUUCGGACAGUUGUGAAGGUGCUGCAUGGUUGUCGUCAGCUCGUGCCGUGAGGUGUCGGCUUAAGUGCCAUAACGAGCGCAACCCUUAUCGAUAGUUACUAGCAGGUCAUGCUGAGGACUCUAUUGAGACUGCCGUCGUAAGAUGUGAGGAAGGUGGGGAUGACGUCAAAUCAGCACGGCCCUUACGUCCGGGGCUACACACGUGUUACAAUGGGGGGUACAGAAGGCAGCUACACGGCGACGUGGUGCUAAUCCCGAAAGCCUCUCUCAGUUCGGAUUGGAGUCUGCAACCCGACUCCAUGAAGCUGGAUUCGCUAGUAAUCGCGCAUCAGCCACGGCGCGGUGAAUACGUUCCCGGGCCUUGUACACACCGCCCGUCAAGCCAUGAAAGCCGGGGGUACCUGAAGUACGUAACCGCAAGGAGCGUCCUAGGGUAAAACUGGUGA